UGACUNGAGUGCAGAAGGGGAGAGUGGAAUUCCANGUGUAGCGGUGAAAUGCGUAGAUAUAUGGAGGAACACCAGUGGCGAAAGCGGCUCUCUGGUCUGUCACUGACGCUGAGGCUCGAAAGCGUGGGUAGCGAACAGGAUUAGAUACCCUGGUAGUCCACGCCGUAAACGAUGAGUGCUAGGUGUUAGGCCCUUUCCGGGGCUUAGUGCCGGAGCUAACGCAAUAAGCACUCCGCCUGGGGAGUACGACCGCAAGGUUGAAACUCAAAGGAAUUGACGGGGGCCCGCACAAGCGGUGGAGCAUGUGGUUUAAUUCGAAGCAACGCGAAGAACCUUACCAGGUCUUGACAUCCCGAUGCUAUUCUUAGAGAUAGGAAGUUACUUCGGUACAUCGGAGACAGGUGGUGCAUGGUUGUCGUCAGCUCGUGUCGUGAGAUGUUGGGUUAAGUCCCGCAACGAGCGCAACCCUUAUUGUUAGUUGCCAUCAUUAAGUUGGGCACUCUAGCGAGACUGCCGGUAAUAAACCGGAGGAAGGUGGGGAUGACGUCAAAUCAUCAUGCCCCUUAUGACCUGGGCUACACACGUGCUACAAUGGUCGGUACAACGAGUUGCGAGCCGGUGACGGCAAGCUAAUCUCUGAAAGCCGAUCUCAGUUCGGAUUGGAGGCUGCAACUCGCCUCCAUGAAGUCGGAAUCGCUAGUAAUCGCGGAUCAGCACGCCGCGGUGAAUACGUUCCCGGGCCUUGUACACACCGCCCGUCACACCACGAGAGUUUGUAACACCCGAAGUCGNUGA
rnacentral:rRNA from 1 species